rnacentral:rRNA from 1 species
GUGCAGCAGGCGCGAAAACUCCGCAAUGCGCGAAAGCGUGACGGGGUCACCCCGAGUGCCGUCCGCUGAGGAUGGCUUUUGCCUGGUCUAACCAGCCGGGUGAAUAAGGGGAGGGCAAGUCUGGUGUCAGCCGCCGCGGUAAUACCAGCUCCCCGAGUGGUUGGGACGAUUAUUGGGUCUGAAGCGUCCGUAGCCGGCCGGAAAAGUUCCCCGUUAAAUCUGGCGAUCCAAUCGUUGGGCUGCGGGGAAUACUCUUCGGCUUGGGGGCGAGGGAGGUCGGCGGUAGUCCCGGGGUAGGGGCAAAAUCCUGUAAUCCUGGGGAGACCACCAGUGGCGAAGGCGCACUGCUAGAACAAAUCCGACGGUGAGGGAUGAAGCCGUGGGGCGCAAACGGGAUUAGAUACCCCGGUAGUCC